AGAACGAGCCGUGGUGAUUGGUCCGGGUGCAUGUACAAUCCGCGUGUCAAGAUACACACAUACACAUACAUACACGUGGGCUCAAGCACAGUAAAAGAUGGGAAAGAGCGAGAGAGACCAGCUGAAGUCUCUCUGGUGGCGGCAUGGCAACAGCCAGAAAGCAGCGGUAGCAGCAGGGUGUGCGAACGACAAAACCGAAAGCAAAAACCUGCCAAGAGAAAAAUGAGGGCGCCUCGCCGCGAAGCAGUGCGACUAGCGCUGGCCCGUUUAUGUGUGUGCGGAAUAUUUGAGGGCCUCGCGAGACUAUUUCUUGAAACCGCUGGCAGCUCUGGGGGUUUUGCCCUGCUGUGUUCGUGUUGGUCGUUCAUACAAAAUAUUGGAGUGCACGAGCGCAGAGCUAGAGGCUGCUGUGUGCUGCUGAACGUUCCUCGCGAGUUUUUGGAAAAGGCAAAAAUUUCACUGGGUCCGUGUACUCCUGACCGUGUGUAGAGCCUUCCGGUUUUCCAACCCCAUCCUUCCUCAUCCGGGUCGUGUUUUCGUUCGCAACUCGCGCGCGACAAGUUGCAUUUCCGGCUCUCGGUUGUCAGCAGACAGUGCAACGUGUGGGGGAGGAUUUGUAGUGUUUAUAAUUAUACCCACUCUUGGGGCGUUUUUAAUUACGCGUGGACGUAAAUAGGAUAGUAGCUACCCGUCGUAAGCGAGACUACCGUCGAGGUGCCUCAUAAAGUGAGUGACAAUACACCAUUGGAACUCGCAUCGAGUGUUGAAUCAGGAGUUAAUAGAUGUCUGGAAUGGUGAUAAUUGGGCAAAAAUCUUGAUGGAAACAAAUUUAGUGCUGGGUUUUGUGAAGGAAAUGGAAUGAUCAAUAGCUAUUUGUUUGCUUUAUGGUAGUGGAAAAAGGGAAGAAAUGAAUACACGUGAUUGAUAAUAAAUUUUUGCAGCAUUACUACUGAGUGAGAUUAGUGAAUUCUGUUGAGUGAAAAAAAAAAAAAUAGCACUGUCCAGUUAGUGGCAAGAAGAUAAACAAGGGGAUCCGUAUUUGCAGUUGAAAAUGUCCGUUCCGGUUGCAACAGUCAAACAGGAACGGCACGAUGAAGCAGAAAUUAAUGAAUUGGCAGCCAAAAUGAUGGAGGUACACAAGCAACAGACAGCGAAAGCUGCGUUACAGCAACAGCAAAUCGUCAGACCUGGAGGGGCCGGUCAAGUACCCGGGGUAACGGGCAAUGGCACAACUGGGCAAACAAACAUUCUGAACUAUCUGACCCGGAAACCGGGUCAACAAGUGCCACAAUCCAUCGGGGCCACAACGAUAGCUCCGGUCGGUAGUGCACAAACCAACGGAAAUGCUGCAAAGACUGAUGAAGCAAACGGGGAGAAGAAAGCAUGCGACGAGGAAAGCCAAAAGGGACACUUUGGCUGGGAAACGUUUCCCGGCAAAAUUCACAUUCCGUACAUCUUCCGACAGUCGGAACGAUAUUGCGCUGUGCGUAUGGUGGAAAUGAAACUGCUCAAUAAGUAUUUAAACUAUCUGCAUCAGGACAUCUACAGUUGCACAUGUGUCCGGUCGUACUAUAUCACGGAAGCUGAGAGUAAACUGUUCAACGAAAUCAACACCAAACAUUGUGAUUUCCAGUUUGGACGGGAGAUGUUCACGCUCAAGGAUUUGGUGGUCCGGUUGUCUGACGCCUACAAAUUCUACCAGUUCCUGGAUGUGUGCUACAAAAAGCUACUGAUGGGUUGCAGUACACCAAACGACAAAUGUGGCUUCAUCCGAAUCAACAAAGAAUCCGUAGUUCCUUACACCGUUAGAGAUAAUCAAAAAAUGGUUCCACUGUUCUACUUUGAAGGAGAGACUGAUAAUCUUAAGCUAAAAGCCGACUACUUAUCCGGUUGGGAUCUGUCCUAUCUUAAGUUCUGCUGCAAGGUCCAAGGCAUCCGGAAUGAGCUCUUCGCCAGUGACUCGGUCGCUGUCAUCAGUUUGACCGACAUCAAGGGCUACUUCCCUCCGGGAACCGAGUUUGAAGACUACUGGCCAAGCAAGGUCGUCGACUCGCAGCUGCUCUCCGGUCCGAAGUCGAACAAUACUGUGCAUUGGACCCGACAACCGGCUCAACCUCCACCAAAACAACCCACCAACAUGAUGAACACAAUGGCCAAACAGCAACCUCAAGUCCGGAAAACGGCCAACAACAUGUACCAGGCGCUGCAGCAGCAACAACAGCAGAAUAUGCAGAAAAACAACGCUCAAAUGCCAAACAUCUCGGCAGCUGUGCAGGCACUCACGAACAACUGGAACCUAACGAACCAUGCCAAUCUGCUGUCGGCCGCACAGCAGGAACAGCUAUUGAGAAUAACGCAAGCACAGCAGGCUGCCCAAGCUCAGGCCCAGAUCCGAAGUAUGCAGAACAUGCACCCCAUGCAAUACAACUCCUACAUGAAUCAGACCAUGUCGAUGUCGUCGAGGUCUUCCCAGAACCAAGCGGUUCCGCCACCGCUGGUCCGGUCGUCGCAAUCGCAAGCCGCCCAUAUGUCAAGUGGUUCAUCGUCAAUACGCUCCAACAACAGUAGUACUACUCCGAUCUCUUACCUCAAUCCUGAACUGUCCAUAUUCGCCACCUCCCGCAGCCCCAAUGGCACCGUCAAUCUGUCGCACCUGAAUCAGUUGCAAAUUAACCAACUCACGGCUACGAAUAGCAACAUCACCAUCACACCAGCUAACAACAGUUCUAACAGUAGUAGUAGCGGCGGUGCCAAAACGCCCGCCGUCUACCCUAAGAACCCGGUCUCGAUAACGGCCGUUCCGGUUGCAUCACCAUCGCGGGCCUCACCGAAAGGUUCCCAGGCCAAGCAUCCACCUCCGGCGUUGAUUCCGGUCGGAUCCGGAGCCAACGCCGCCAAGAACAAUCUGCUACUGAGUCAAGUUGAGCUUUUACGGGAAAAGUUGCUUCUAAACAGUGUUCCUAAUAUGGCCGCAGUUGCCGCAGCGUAUGGUGCCAUUGUUCCAAAUCCUACAUCCUUUCCCACGUCCUCUUCUUCUUCUACUUUUCUGUCCAAUCCUGUAGCGAGUAAAUCUAAUGUAGACAAUACCAGAUAUAAGAGCGUAAUUACCUCACGAGCAGCAAUGGAUGUAAUCGAUCUAUCUUCCCCUCCAAGGUCAAACAUGGCAGGAGCGGCGGCUGCGGCGGCCAUGUCCCAGCAACAGCAACAGCAGCAGAAACGUUCCAAUGCUGUCGCUGCUGCGGCCGCAAUGACCAACGGUCGCUCCAAUACGACCAUCACCUCGACCAACAACUACCGCUCGACGGCGGCUGCCCUGCAGCAGCAACUGCAACAACAGCAGGCAGCCGUGGUGGCCGCCCAGCAGCAGGCGGCUGCCAUGAGUGCCGCUGCCGCCGCCGACGGAGGCGGCACGCGGCACGGCAAUGUCAUUAUGCUGCCGGAAAUGACCAUGGGCGGUACGCCGUACAAACCGUACGAGGUCGUUAAGAAACCGAUCGAGAACAAAACGAUCUACUGCAUCAACAAAACGCCGUACCGAAACACGGACUACCUGAUGACCAUCCAGGACCUGAAGGAUGUGUUUUUCCCGUACAUCAGCCUGGAUGUGUGCCGGCGGGUACUCAACGCGCUGGAUAUCAACCUGUUCGUCGGAAAUAGCCUGCAGUAUCAAGCCCUCCUGGAAGCCGGUCGUGCCAAUGUGGACAAGAUGCCCCUGGUCCAGGUAGUGGACGUGAUGCAGUUCAUGCCCCAGCUCCAGUACAUGGUGCGGGGUCAGAUAGGCCAAGAGACGCCGGCGAACAAGCGCGCCCGCAUCAGCUAGGAAUUGGGGUGGGGGGUACCGCAACAGUGCCCUCAGAGCACAGUAGUAUCCGAUCCGAUGAUGAUCACCAGCAGUAGCAGCAUUACCAACAGCAUCAGCAGCAGUAUCCAUUCCGGCGGUUCAGCGGCAAGUGUCAGCGCUUCCUGGAGCCUGACACCGACGUCACCCUCGGGGACAGGCAAAAAGUCAUCCUCUUCUUCUUCUUCCGGUUCGAGUGCUCCGGCCGCUAUUGUCAGUAGUAGCAGUAGCGGAUUCUCGUCACCAACGAACCCUCUAAACUUCGACAAGAAAGCUCUGUCCUCCUGCCGGUACCAGCAAGAAAAGGCCGAUUUCUAUCAGGACGCAUCUAGUCGAAUGCUGGCCCAAGCAUCAUCUUCAGCUUACUCGUUCCAGGAAUCAGCCCUUGCCGCGGCCGCUGCUGCUGCAGCCGCUGCCCAGCAGCAACAACAACAACAAGCUCAACAAGCCGCCGUGGCUGCCGCCGCUGCUCAACAAGCGGCCGCUGCUGCUGCUGCCGCCCAGCAACUAACGGCGGCCAGCAGUGCGUCCAUUUUCUCACCACAUUUCGCCCCCGGAUCGUACGUAACCGGUCCGAUGCAGGUCGGAUCGUAUGAUAGCUCGGCCGUAACGGCCGCUCGCUCUUGUGCUCUGCCGUCACCCACCAUUUAUCCGCCGACCCCCCCACCCUCGGCACCCUGGAUACACCCUUGGUAUAGCGGCGAUACCUUUUAGUCAGUAGCAUCUAGCAGUAUUGAAACUUCGUUUUUAAUCGUAACCAAACUCUUUCAAAUUACUGUUGAAAUAAAACUUUCCAUGGAAAUAACGACUAAUUUUCAUAAUUUAGUGUCAAAUUGUAGAAAACAAGGAUCAAAGGUCCUUAUUCUGAAACCAAAAAUUCUCAGUAUCCGGUACAUCCAAGCACAAAUCCGUAGAACCGCAGCUCUAUCCAACUUAACGUGAGACAAACAAUUGAACAAGUAAUUGUGUAACCAAAAAGAAGCAUUAGCAGUUAAUCGAACUACAUGAAAUGUCAACAGGUUAUGCUCUCCAUGCUUCCUAUCUACAGAAGUGAUCCGAAACCGACGACAUCGAUCGGCAUUUUUCCCAUUUCAACACACAAUUACUCUCCCUAUCCAAAAUUUGAUUGUUCUUCUACGCAUUCAAAACAAAAAAAAAAUGCUAUCCAAACGUCAUAAAUUGAGAUAUCGAAAACUAAAGUUACUACUACUUGUAUUUUAAAGCUAAACUUGAGAAGCAAGAGAAGGAAACUCAAUUCACUAAUAAGCAUUAAACUGUACAUUUAGGAAUAAAAAGAAAUUUGUGAAGGACAGCGAAUCCUUAGAAAAUAAUUCUCGCAGGAAAAGAUACAGAGAGAAGAUGGGAAACAUUAUUGUAAUGUAACUUAGCAAGAAAGCGCAAAAACAUGAAAAGAACUGAAUAGACUUGAGAAGCGAUUCUCCCCCCUAGCGCCAGUCGGACGGAAGGAGGGUAGAAGAAAACUUACAUCUGUAGUAGGAAAAAAAAUCGAUUGGCGAAGAUGCGAAAUGAAAAAAAUAAGAGUUGAAAGCAAUUCGUUUUAGCUUUUUCGUCGUUAUACUCUAGAAAGCGAAACUCGCUUCCCCUCCCGCUGCUGCUCAGUGCGGAGUUAUUCGCAGUCGAUGAUAGGUGAACACUGUCCAAUUCGAUCGAAUUCUUUUUAUGCAUUAAGUAGGAAAUGAAACCGUAAUUAUUGUACAUUUAGUUAUGCCUAACCUAUUUAAGCAGAUAUUCGAGGGUUGAUAGCGCAGGGAUCUGUUUGUAGUAAUAGCGAGUGAUGAGAACUGAACGUACGAAUGAGAAUAAAGUCCCAGUAGGUUGUAAGAAAAAAAAAACACAGAGGAGGUGUGCAAACGGUUUACAUUCUGUUAUAGAGUCAGAACUCUAGCGAUGUUUUAGUUUUGAUUGAACAAAAAAGAGAAAUAAAUUAUAUGUUUUUAUUUAUUUUUAUGAUUACGAAAACAUGAAAGCAUCAUCAUGCACUCUUUAGUUGUAACGCUACAAACUGUAUACCCGUUGAGGAAAAAGGCUACUUGUUUAUAUUAAAUAUGUCUCAACUAUCAGACGAGAAGAAAAAUAAAAUACGCUAUCAGUGUAACGUAAUUCUUCUAGUAGAAGGAUCUCGUGAAUCAAACUAUAA